rnacentral:tRNA from 1 species
GCCCUCGUAGCUCAGUUGGAUAGAGCGCUUCCCUCCUAAGGAAGAAGUCGCAGGUUCGAAUCCUGUCGAGGGCG